rfam:Bacillus sp. FJAT-27264 scaffold2, whole genome shotgun sequence.
UAAAUCCUGCGAUGUACGUUAUGGCUGCUCGUUGUUUUGAACCAAUGACAAUGUCUCGGGAGAUCAAAAUUGAAACGUGGCUGAAAGGCCCCGCCUAUAUGGCCCGGGGAAUUCAAAAGCGAGUUCUGCGAUCACCCACCUGCUCUAGCAGGUUCAGAAGACACUGUGGCCGGACGGCAUAGGCGGGUUUUCC